UACAGAGGUGGCAAGCGUUGUUCGGAAUUAUUGGGCGUAAAGCGCGUGUAGGCGGCUUUGCAAGUCGGGUGUGAAAGCCCUCAGCUCAACUGAGGAAGUGCGCCCGAAACUGCAGAGCUUGAGUGCCGGAGAGGGUGGCGGAAUUCCCCAAGUAGAGGUGAAAUUCGUAGAUAUGGGGAGGAACACCGGUGGCGAAGGCGGCCACCUGGACGGCAACUGACGCUGAGACGCGAAAGCGUGGGUAGCAAACAGG
rnacentral:rRNA from 1 species